rnacentral:rRNA from 1 species
UACGAAGGGGGGCUAGCGUUGCUCGGAAUGACUGGGCGUAAAGGGCGCGUAGGCGGUUCAUACAGUCAGAUGUGAAAUUCCCGGGCUUAACCUGGGGGCUGCAUUUGAUACGUGUGGGCUUGAGUGAGGAAGAGGGUUGUGGAAUUCCCAGUGUAGAGGUGAAAUUCGUAGAUAUUGGGAAGAACACCGGUGGCGAAGGCGGCAACCUGGUCCUUGACUGACGCUGAGGCGCGAAAGCGUGGGGAGCAAACAGG